rnacentral:rRNA from 1 species
UACGAAGGGAGCUAGCGUUGUUCGGAAUCACUGGGCGUAAAGCGCACGUAGGCGGAUUUGUCAGUCAGGGGUGAAAUCCCGGGGCUCAACCUCGGAACUGCCUUUGAUACAGCAAGUCUUGAGUUCGAGAGAGGUGGGUGGAAUUCCUAGUGUAGAGGUGAAAUUCGUAGAUAUUAGGAAGAACACCAGUGGCGAAGGCGGCUCACUGGUCCGAUACUGACGCUGAGGUGCGAAAGCGUGGGGAGCAAACAGG